rnacentral:rRNA from 1 species
GCGCUGGAAGAGGAGUCCGCGGCUGAUUAGCUAGUUGGCGGGGUAACGGCCCACCAAGGCGAAGAUCGGUAGCCGGCCUGAGAGGGCACACGGCCACACUGGCACUGAAACACGGGCCAG